GCUCAGGAUGAACGCUGGCGGCGUGCCUAAUACAUGCAAGUCGAGCGAACGGACGAGAAGCUUGCUUCUCUGAUGUUAGCGGCGGACGGGUGAGUAACACGUGGAUAACCUACCUAUAAGACUGGGAUAACUUCGGGAAACCGGAGCUAAUACCGGAUAAUAUUUUGAACCGCAUGGUUCAAAAGUGAAAGACGGUCUUGCUGUCACUUAUAGAUGGAUCCGCGCUGCAUUAGCUAGUUGGUAAGGUAACGGCUUACCAAGGCAACGAUGCAUAGCCGACCUGAGAGGGUGAUCGGCCACACUGGAACUGAGACACGGUCCAGACUCCUACGGGAGGCAGCAGUAGGGAAUCUUCCGCAAUGGGCGAAAGCCUGACGGAGCAACGCCGCGUGAGUGAUGAAGGUCUUCGGAUCGUAAAACUCUGUUAUUAGGGAAGAACAUAUGUGUAAGUAAC
rnacentral:rRNA from 1 species